rnacentral:rRNA from 2 species
UGACUCUCGGCAACGGAUAUCUUGGCUCUCGCAUCGAUGAAGGAUGUAGCGAAAUGCGAUACUUGGUGUGAAUUGCAGAAUCCCGUGAACCAUCGAGUCUUUGAACGCAAGUUGCGCCCGAGGCUAUCUGGUUAAGGGCAUGCCUGCCUGGGCAUCAUGCAUUGCGACGCUUCGUGCC